rnacentral:rRNA from 1 species
GACGAACGCUGGCGGCGUGCUUAACACAUGCAAGUCGAGCGGUAAGGCCCUUUCGGGGGUACACGAGCGGCGAACGGGUGAGUAACACGUGGGUGACCUGCCCUCAGCUCUGGGAUAAGCCUGGGAAACCGGGUCUAAUACUGGAUAUGACUCCAUGACGCAUGUUGUGGGGUGGAAAGCCUUGUGCGGCUGAGGAUGGGCCCGCGGCCUAUCAGCUUGUUGGUGGGGUGAUGGCCUACCAAGGCGACGACGGGUAGCCGGCCUGAGAGGGCGACCGGCCACACUGGGACUGAGACACGGCCCAGACUCCUACGGGAGGGCAGCAGUGGGGAAUCUUGCGCAAUGGGCGGAAGCCUGACGCAGCGACG